rnacentral:rRNA from 1 species
UACGUAGGGGGCUAGCGUUGUCCGGAAUCAUUGGGCGUAAAGCGCGUGUAGGCGGCCCGGUAAGUCCGCUGUGAAAGUCGGGGGCUCAACCCUCGGAUGCCGGUGGAUACUGUCGGGCUCGAGUACGGAAGAGGCGAGUGGAAUUCCUGGUGUAGCGGUGAAAUGCGCAGAUAUCAGGAGGAACACCAAUUGCGAAGGCAGCUCGCUGGGACGUUACUGACGCUGAGACGCGAAGCGUGGGGAGCAAACAGG